CAAACUGGGACAUCCAUUAUGGUUAAUGUAGGAAGAGGGAUGAGGUGGCAAACUGGGACAUCCAUUAUGGUUAAUGUAGGAAGAGGGAUGAGAUGACAAACUGGGACAUCCAUUAUGGUUAAUGUAGGAAGAGGGAUGAGGUGGCAGACUGGGACAUCCAUUAUGGUUAAUGUAGGAAGAGGGAUGAGGUGACAAACUGGGACAUCCAUUAUGGUUAAUGUAGGAAGAGGGAUGAGGUGGCAAACUGGGACAUCCAUUAUGGUUAAUGUAGGAAGAGGGAUGAGGUGGCAAACGGGGACAUCCAUUAUGGUUAAUGUAGGAAGAGGGAUGAGGUGGAAAACUGGGACAGGAAGUGGUCAUUUCCUGUUUAGUGAAUAAUUCCAUUUGAGGAAAAGGUGGAUAAACCAGUUAGUUAGUUAGUUAGUUAGUUAGUUCAUUCGUUCAUUUGCUACUUAGUUUGUUACUUAGUUAGCUAGAUAUCAAAUCAAAUCAAAUUUAUUUAUAUAGCCCUUCGUACAUCAGCUGAUAUCUCAAAGUGCUGUACAGAUACCCAGCCUAAAACCCCAAACAGCAAGCAAUGCAGGUGUAGAAGCACUGAUAGAUAUAACUGAUUUAUAUCAACUUUAUACAAACUACAAACACAGUGUAUAUGGUAUGUAUAUAUACCUUCAAGUCCACAUGGACUAGUGCAGUACACAGGGAAAAGGGUUUGAUUUGGACCAGGCCUUUAGAAUCAUUAUCUCAUGUGCAGCCAGUAGAUCCAAAAGGAAGGCAGAAACAACCAUCAUCACAUUUCACUUCACAACUUCCUGCUACUUACGAUUUAACACUGACAGCACUCAUUAAAGGUUUUGUUAGCUUAAAACUUUGAUUCACCUCUUACUCCCCCUCUCCUCUUUCUUCCAUUCUCUCUGCCUUAUCCACCCCCAGGACUGCA
ensembl:lncRNA